AAGGCGCCCACCUACCUUUCCCCCGCCCCAAGUCUCCCCCGCUCCCCUCCCGCCGCCGCCACCGACCUCGCCGCCGGCAAUGGCGUGGCUCGCGCGCUCCAUCGCCAACUCUCUCCUCUCCCCCGAGGAGGACGAACCCAGCGGCACCGCCCCGGGCCCCUCUGCCUCACCCGGCUCCUCCUCCUCCUCCCCUCCUCGCGGCGUCCGCGAGGACCUCUCCGAGCUCACCGGCGCGCUCGCAAACCGCUUCCAGGGCCUCGCCUCCUUCCUCGAGGCCCCAGGCGGGGGCGCGCGGCGGGGGCCGGACCCGGCGGAGAUCGCGGGCCGCUUCCGCGCCGGCCUCGCGCGGCUCCCGGGCCGCCAGGCCGUUGCGGAUCUCGCCAAGAUCGCCUCCUCGCUGCUGCCCCCGGAGGGCGGCGCGGGCUGGGCGGAGGCCGCCGUGGGGGUCACCGAGGAGGUGGUUGCCUUCGCGCGGGACGCCGCCCUGCGGCACGAGCUCUGGCUCGACUUCCCCCUCCUCCCCGACGACGCCGACUCCGACGAUUUCGACAUGACUGAUGCGCAGCAGGACCACGCGCUGGCCGUCGAGAGCGUGGCGCCGGAGCUCGCUGAUCUACGGAUCGAGCUCUGCCCCAGCCACAUGAGCGAGGGCUGCUUCUGGAAGAUAUACUUCGUGCUGCUGCAUCCUAAGCUCACGAAGGAGGAUGCCGAGAUUCUGUCGACUCCACAGCUCCUGAUUUCCUUGGCACAGAUUUUGGAAGCCAGAGGCAGGUUGUCACAUGAUUUGCAAUAUCAGACGAAGUUACAGAGCAGCAGUGGGGACACCUUACCUGUGCCUUUCAGCAAUGUAGAUGGUGCUUUAGCUUCUCCUGUAGAGGUUUUGGAUGCCUUAAAGGGUCAAGAUGGCUCCGUGAUGGCCACAUCUUUUAGCAACAUAGACUAUGGCAUCUCUCAACCAACCAAUCAGGAAUUUCAAUCAACUAAUGCAACCAGUGAUGCUGGAACUGUUUCUUCAGAUAACAUCAGCGGCAGUGUACCUGUACAGCUAGUCCCCAUAUUGAAAGACGCUACUGUGGUGUCAGAGUCUACGUUGGAAGAAAGCACAUGCGAUCUCUCUACAGAAGAUGCAGCAGCAGAAGAGCAGAUCAUGCAAAUGUCGGAGAUAGCAUUGGUGGAGAAUUCUCCUCCUAAAGAUGAUCAACAGAAACAACCAUUGGCUGACAUCAGUGAACACUCAAGAGUUGACAUUCAGAAAGCUUAUCAUGAUGAGGAUGAGGAUGAGGAUGAUGGCGAUGAAUGGUUGGAAGAGGAGAUAGGUGGCCCAGGAAACACGACGUUUCCAGUUGCAGAUGAUGAAGAUGUAUCGUUCAGUGAUCUAGAGGAUGACGAUGGUACAACAUGACAUCGCCAGCAGGGGCUUCAUGGUCCUCUUGAAUUUGUGCAGGCAAUUCCAUUACACGGUCAAAUGCAAUGAGCUUGGAAGAUGCCCACUGUACAGCCUCAUACUGGCUUGGCCUUGUUGUGACCAGCUGCUACUGCUUGCAGAAUUUGCUGUGAUCCUUGGACUUCACAGUGCACCAUGGUUUUCACGAAGCAUCCAAGUUCAACACUGACGGACUGACCAAGAAAAACAACAAGAACGCCAACCAGAAAUUAGGCAAAAUUUGGCCAAGCACCAGAUUCUCCGACCGGAGAAGAAUCUUUUCCUUGUUCAUCAAUUUGCAAGUAAAUUAAAAAUCUUGUGGCGGAAACCAUUGGCCGGUGCGCGCUUGAUGGAUGGUUUAACACGGCUGGAUGCUGAAUUAGGUGCUUGAUGAUCCAGGGAUCAGCAAGUUGGAUGAAUAUCAUCAGGAAGAAGUUAAAACGAGUUAGGUGAUGCUUAGACUUCAGCUGGGGUCUACGCCGGUGCCUACUCAUGAGGCAGCAAGCCAACUGGUACCAUGAUUCCAUGAACAUGGCACAUCGGACAAGAGUCACAGGACUGUACUGCUGCUUGCCUGCAUUUUAAAGCCAGCUUGUUGAUGGCACUAGAUUGGUGAGAAUCUGGAUCGUGACGUCAAGGGAUGUGCUUGAUUGGUGAUUGCUCCAUUAUUCUGCUGUCAUUGAGCUAGUCUGGGCAUUUCAUUU